rnacentral:rRNA from 1 species
GAUGAACGCUGGCGGCGUGCCUAAUACAUGCAAGUCGAGCGAACAGACGAGGCGCUUGCUCCUCUGACGUUAGCGGCGGACGGGUGAGUAACACGUGGAUAACCUACCUAUAAGACUGGGAUAACUUCGGGAAACCGGAGCUAAUACCGGAUAAUAUAUUGAACCGCAUGGUUCAAUAGUGAAAGACGGUUUUGCUGUCACUUAUAGAUGGAUCCGCGCCGCAUUAGCUAGUUGGUAAGGUAACGGCUUACCAAGGCAACGAUGCGUAGCCGACCGGAGAGAGUGAUCGGCCACACUGGAACUGAGACACGGUCCAGACUCCUACGGGAGGCAGCAGUAGGGAAUCUUCCGCAAUGGGCGAAAGCCUGACGGAGCAACGCCGCGUGAGUGAUGAAGGUCUUCGGAUCGUAAAACUCUGUUAUUAGGGAAGAACAAAUGUGUAAGUAACUAUGCACGUCUUGACGGUACCUAAUCAGAAAGCCACGGCUAACUACGUG